UUGACUAAAGCCAAAAUUGAGGCUACUCACUGUUAAUGAUUAUACUGGUACUACCUAGUCGUU
rnacentral:tRNA from 1 species